rnacentral:rRNA from 1 species
CCCCUAGAUGUUCUGGGCCGCACGCGCGCUACACUGAACAGUUCAACAAGUCUUAACCUUGGCCGAUAGGUCUGGGUAAUCUUUGAACGCUGUUCGUGAUUGGGAUAGACCUUUGCAAUUAUGGGUCUUCAACGAGGAAUUCCUAGUAAACGCAAGUCAUCAGCUUGCAUUGAUUACGUCCCUGCCCUUUGUACACACCGUCCGUCGCACCUACCGAUUGAAUGGUCCGGUGAAAUCUCGGGACGGCGGCUUGGUCGCUUGCGUCCGACUGCUGAAACUUGAUUAAACCAUAUCAUUUAGAGGAAGGUGAANUCGUANCA